GAUGAACGCUGGCGGCGUGCCUAAUACAUGCAAGUCGAGCGAACAGACGAGGAGCUUGCUCCUCUGACGUUAGCGGCGGACGGGUGAGUAACACGUGGAUAACCUACCUAUAAGACUGGGAUAACUUCGGGAAACCGGAGCUAAUACCGGAUAAUAUAUUGAACCGCAUGGUUCAAUAGUGAAAGACGGUUUUGCUGUCACUUAUAGAUGGAUCCGCGCCGCAUUAGCUAGUUGGUAAGGUAACGGCUUACCACGGCGACGAUGCGUACCCGACCUGGGAGGGUGAUCGGCCACACUGGAACUGAGACACGGUCCAUACUCCUACGAGAGGCAGCAGUAGGGAAUCUUCCGCAACAGGCGAAAGCCUGACGGAGCAACGCCGCGUGAGUGAUGAAGGUGUUCGGAUCGUAAAACUCUGUUAUUAGGGAAGAACAAAUGUGUAAGUAACUAUGCACGUCUUGACGGUACCUAAUCAGAAAGCCACGGCUAACUACGUG
rnacentral:rRNA from 1 species